GAUCAUGGCUCAGGAUGAACGCUAGCGGCAGGCUUAACACAUGCAAGUCGAGGGGUAUAGUUCUUCGGAACUAGAGACCGGCGCACGGGUGCGUAACGCGUAUGCAAUCUACCUUUCACAAAGGGAUAGCCCAGAGAAAUUUGGAUUAAUACCUUAUAGUAUAGCGAGUUCGCAUGGAUUUGCUAUUAAAGAUUUAUCGGUGAAAGAUGAGCAUGCGUCCCAUUAGCUAGUUGGUAAGGUAACGGCUUACCAAGGCUACGAUGGGUAGGGGUCCUGAGAGGGAGAUCCCCCACACUGGUACUGAGACACGGACCAGACUCCUACGGGAGGCAGCAGUGAGGAAUAUUGGUCAAUGGGCGCAAGCCUGAACCAGCCAUGCCGCGUGCAGGAUGACGGUCCUAUGGAUUGUAAACUGCUUUUGUACAGGAAGAAACACCCCGACGUGUCGGGACUUGACGGUACUGUAAGAAUAAGGAUCGGCUAACUCCGUGCCAGCAGCCGCGGUAAUACGGAGGAUCCAAGCGUUAUCCGGAAUCAUUGGGUUUAAAGGGUCCGUAGGCGGCUUAAUAAGUCAGUGGUGAAAUCCCUACGCUUAACGUAGGAACGGCCAUUGAUACUGUUAGGCUUGAAUUAUUAGGAAGUAACUAGAAUAUGUAGUGUAGCGGUGAAAUGCUUAGAGAUUACAUGGAAUACCAAUUGCGAAGGCAGGUUACUACUAAUGGAUUGACGCUGAUGGACGAAAGCGUGGGUAGCGAACAGGAUUAGAUACCCUGGUAGUCCACGCCGUAAACGAUGGAUACUAGCUGUUGGAAGCAAUUUCAGUGGCUAAGCGAAAGUGAUAAGUAUCCCACCUGGGGAGUACGUUCGCAAGAAUGAAACUCAAAGGAAUUGACGGGGCCCGCACAAGCGGUGGAGCA
rnacentral:rRNA from 1 species